GAAAUUUCUUUUUGAGAUUGUAACAUGCAAGGACAAUGAAAUUCAGCUGCCGUUAGUAACUUCUUUCCUGCAGAGACAUGGUCUCAUUAAUACUGUCACCUUCAAGGGAAGUGCACUGCAAGAUUCAACUCAAAGGAAUACUUCCAUGGGAAAAAUGUUUCCUUACCGAUAGAGCUAUCUUUUUUUUCUCUUGCUGAUCUAGUGAUAGUUUCUUCCAAGACCUUCAACUGUAAACAAUGUCCGAAAACAGCUGAAACAGUUAUGAAAACGAGCAGUAAGACAUGUACAUUUUGUUUUGUCUUU